UACGUAGGGUGCAAGCGUUGUCCGGAAUUAUUGGGCGUAAAGAGCUCGUAGGCGGUUUGUCGCGUCUGCUGUGAAAUCCCGAGGCUCAACCUCGGGCCUGCAGUGGGUACGGGCAGACUGGAGUGCGGUAGGGGAGAAUGGAAUUCCUGGUGUAGCGGUGGAAUGCGCAGAUAUCAGGAGGAACACCGAUGGCGAAGGCAGGUCUCUGGGCUAUAACUGACGCUCAUGCACGAAAGCGUGGGGAGCAAACAGG
rnacentral:rRNA from 1 species